rnacentral:rRNA from 1 species
GACGAACGCUGGCGGCGUGCUUAACACAUGCAAGUCGAACGGAGUGGCGAACGGGUGAGUAACACGUGGGUGAUCCGCCUUGCACUUCGGGUUAAGCUUGGGAAACUGGGCUUAAUACCCGAUAGUGCAAGAUGAGCUCGCGGCCUAUCAGCUUGUUGGUGGGGUAAUGGCCUACCACGGCGUCGCCGGGUAGCCGGCCUGGGAGGGUGUACGGCGACAAUGGGACUGAGGUACUGCCCAGAGUCCUACGGGAGGCAGCAGUGGGGAAUAUAGCACAAUUGGCGGAAGCCUGAAGCAGCGGCGCCGGGUGGGGGAUGAAGGCCAUCGGGUUGUAAACUCCUUUCGACAGGGACGCGGUACCUGUAUAAGAAGCACCGGCUAACUACGUGCCAGCAGCCGCGGUAAUAC